GGGCUGCAAAAAGGCUUGAGAGUGAUGGCGUCGGGAGUCAACAAAAAAACGACUUCAGGGUAAAAUAUUCAGAUCCACUCUGACCAUAGCAACGUAUAGACUGUCACUAUUUGUGGGUAGGCCCUCUUGUUGCAUGCUGGUGUGACUUUUUCUGGUGCAGUCGUCCCUCUCUAACCCGGCAACUUUUGCAACGGCAUUUUCUGCUGGAUAAACAAGGGUGCAUGUACAACUGCUGGAUUAUAAUAAUAAAAUAUGUACAAUUUGAGCGAUUUGUUGCAGAAAAUCGCUGCCGGAGCUGGAAUUCAAGUGCCGGAUUAAAGGGGAACUCCAAGAAAAAAUGAAAAUUUGAUAGCCUGUAGAGUUUCGGGCGCUGAGUCGAAUGGUCUUGGUCCGAAGCCUCUACGACGAAGCGUUCUUGAGAUAUUUCACUUUGAAAUUGCAAAAACGGGGGCCGCGCCCUGACGUCAUGCAGCCAUUUGGCUAAGUCAUCACUGGCUGCCAGCGUCAUUGUGGCAUUAUCGUUUCUCUUCGCCAAUCUCCAAGCACUAAUUUUAGUUGGUAUUUCAAGGGAAGAUGAGCGAUUCCGAACAAUCCUCUGUCCCCAGCAAUGAAGGCAGCGUUGCUGAGGCCAGUGAAGACGACCAACAGCCCACCGCCGCGUAUGGUUGGGGCUGGGAGCCCAGAUACUCUGCUGAGGAGCUGCCAUUGCGUGUAACAAAUGUUGAGGAAGAAGAUGCUUCAGCAGCUGCGUCCGACAGAAGACGAGUAGCUUGGCCACCAGAAUCUCGAUUCGUUUAGGACUCCGACUGGUGCGAGCGUGGACAAAAGUGUAUAGCCAUGCCCAGCCCGCGGGAAUGAUUUUGGUGGUAGGAUGUUGCCGUCGCUGUCGAGAAGACUGCCCAGGGCUUCUUGCGUAGCGGACCUCGCAGAUUACGAGAUCGUAUCCUUGCAUUUGGCUGUGCCCACCACUGCUCUUCGAGGUUAUCUCGACAUGCAGAAGCCGCCAAUGCCAGUGACAGAAGAGUCUGACAUCAGAUCUCUACGCAAUGCGGCACACAGGCAGUACACACUAUGUACACGGCAAAUUGGGCAAGCACGUUCGUUGUCGUCUUCCAGCCUGCGUUGUGAAUACCAUCAGGCAAAGAUAUCCUAAUCCUGCACCACCUCAGCCUUCUCAGGAGGCUUCCACCUGGAAUUUGGCAGGGAAACGCGCUUCUCCAAGGCAGGAACAUCGAGGUUGCCAUUUGCAACCGCUACCACCUCACACAUGAGCUUGUCAACAUACUCGUAGCUCUUUCUGUCGUAUAAUUUUCUAUUUGGCCACAGUCUUCUUUAUGCUUUGAGAACUAGAUGUUAUACCUUCCUAUCGCGGUCUUUUUGGUUGUGCUGUGGCGACGGUUGACAUUGACGUCGUCAAGAGCUGCGAGAUGUGCGUGUCCAAUCAUCCCCAGAAUUAAGAAACGAAUGCGUUUGAGAAUGUAGUUUGGCAUGACACUGUUAUAUACCUGCAUGGCAAAAAGAAUGUGGAGAAAACACACUUGCUUAGACAAUAUUCUGCUGUAUGAGAAAAUGGCAACUUCACCGUACAGGACGACUCUUGUUCUCAAUUACAUUGUUCGUUUCAUUCCCUGUGUUGCCCAUAAGAGAAGGGAGCAAAAAUGUCCAGCA